UACAGAGGCCCCAAGCAUUACCCGGAAUCACUGGGCGUAAAGGGUGUGUAGGUGGUCAUAUUAGUCGAGUGUUAAAUCUCAGGGCUUAACUCUGAAAUCGCACUCGAAACGGUAUGACUGGAGAGCGUAAGGGGUGAAUGGAACUCAUGGUGUAGGGGUGAAAUCCGUUGAUAUCAUGGGGAACACCGAAAGCGAAAGCAAUUCACUGGUACGUUUCUGACACUGAAACACGAAAGCGUGGGUAGCGAAUGGG
rnacentral:rRNA from 1 species